rnacentral:tRNA from 1 species
GAGGAUAUAGCUCAAGUGGUAGAGUGCAUGCUUAGCAUGCAUGAGGUCCUGGGUUCAAUCCCCAGUAUCUCCU